rnacentral:rRNA from 1 species
GUUGUUCGGAAUUACUGGGCGUAAAGAGCCCGUAGGCGGCUUUGUAAGUUAGAGGUGAAAGCCCGGGGCUCAACCCCGGAAUUGCCUUUAAGACUGCAUCGCUAGAAUUGUGGAGAGGUAAGUGGAAUUCCGAGUGUAGAGGUGAAAUUCGUAGAUAUUCGGAAGAACACCAGUGGCGAAGGCGACUUACUGGACACAUAUUGACGCUGAGGUGCGAAAGCGUGGGGAGCAGACAGG